GGAGUAGAUAGACGGGGAGUGCUGUGAUGACGCUCGGUGGUGUAGAUAGACGGGGAGUGCUGUGAUGACGCUCGGUGGUGUAGAUAGACGAGGAGCAUUGUGAUGACACCCGGUGGAAUUGAUCGCAUUGUAGUAGUAGAGGAAGUUAUGGUGUAUAUGUUGGAAUCGGUAUUGCAUUUCAGUGGCAGUGGCAGUAGUAGUAGCAGAGGAGGUUAUGGUAUGUGUUUGAGCUCACAGGAAGCCAUGUUUUGCAUUCCUGAGCCAUUAGCCAGCCUAUCCUGGGAGGUGGCCCUGGGCUCACUGUGGUGUGGUUUGUUUAUUUCCACUCAUUGUUUCCUGCUCCCAUUCAGGUCCACGUGCUAAACCAAUCCCAGCUCAGAUUGUGUGACUUGCAGUAACUCGCUCGCUGGCAUUAAAUUCCGGGUGUAUCUAGCGGAUUCGAUCCAGACUUCUGCUCCUUUGCGGCCUUGUAAUA